AGCUACCGGGAGCGCCGGAGUAGCCGCUGCCGCCCCCGCCGACGGGGGCCUGGCGCGCCCCGCCACCCCGGGCCGCUGGGUGCCGCGGCCGCCGGCGGAACAUGGCGCCCUGCACGUUGUGGCGCUGCUGCCAGCGCAGCGUGGGCUGGGUGCCUGUGCUGUUCAUCACCUUCGUGGUCGUGUGGUCCUACUACGCGUACGUGGUGGAGCUGUGCGUGUUUACACUCUCUGGGAACGGAGAAAACGGAAAGGCCGUUGUUUACCUUGUGGCUUUCCAUCUGUUCUUUGUUAUGUUUGUGUGGUCCUAUUGGAUGACAAUUUUCACAUCUCCCGCUUCCCCCUCCAAAGAGUUCUACUUGUCCAAUUCUGAAAAGGAACGUUAUGAGAAGGAAUUCAGCCAAGAAAGACAACAAGAAAUUUUGAGAAGAGCAGCAAGGGACUUACCUAUCUAUACCACGUCGGCUUCAAGGACCAUCAGAUAUUGUGAGAGAUGUCAGUUGAUCAAACCCGACCGUGCUCAUCACUGCUCAGCAUGUGACAUAUGUGUUCUUAAGAUGGAUCAUCACUGUCCUUGGGUGAAUAACUGUGUGGGAUUUUCUAAUUACAAAUUCUUCCUGCUGUUUUUACUAUACUCUCUAUUAUAUUGCCUUUUCGUGGCUGCAACAGUUUUACAGUACUUUAUAAAAUUUUGGACGAAUGAACUCUCAGACACACGUGCAAAAUUCCAUGUCCUUUUCCUUUUCUUUGUGUCCACAAUGUUCUUCAUCAGCGUGCUGUCACUCCUCGGCUACCACUGCUGGCUCGUUGGAAAAAACAGAACAACAAUAGAAUCGUUCCGUGCGCCCACAUUUUCGUACGGAUCUGAUGGAAGUGGUUUCUCUCUUGGAUGCACUAAAAAUUGGAGAGAAGUCUUUGGUGAUGAAAAGAAAUAUUGGCUACUUCCAAUAUUUUCAAGUCCGGGUGAUGGCUGCAGUUUCCCGACUCGCCUGGUGGGGACGGAUCCAGAACAAUCUUCUGUUUCAAACCAAAGUGAAUAUGCCAGAAGGUGUGCUUCUUGUCGUUUCUUUUUUCAGAGUUCACGAUAAAGCAAACCAUGUGUGUCAUACAAAGAUGAACACGGUGUGAUGAAGCAAGCCAGUGUAGACAGGGAGAGAAAUUAUAGAGAGUUUUUAACUGAGGAUUAUUCUGUGCAUACACCUGAUGUGCUUCAGAUAAUCAUAUUUUUAUCAUCCAAACCGAAACAGUUUUGCGAGUUAGGAAGUGAGUGCUGUGCGUAGUUGAGCCAGGGCAGUCACGUGACACUGCCCGCGUCCGAGCACGAAGCACAGCUUCCCUCCUUGUGCUGCGUCUCCCCUGAAACUGAAACCCUCUUGCAAGGUUGGACUAUGUUGCUUUGUAUCAGUUAGUUUUCAAAGAAGUUAGUCGCUGUACUGUUUAUUUGAUAAACAGAUUUUAACUGUAGUGUGAAAAUAAUAUUAGUGAGGAUUCAAAUGUACAAAUGCAGAGUUUUUUCUUACUCAUCUUAGAGGAUAUUUUCUCAGGGUCUGUAUGGUAAGCAGACAGGUUUACAAGUUCAGAGAAAUAGUUUCUUUUAAAUGAGAUUGUAAAGAAGAUAGAUACCCUUCUGUCAAAGUGAAACCCUUGAAACUUAAUUACUCCAGAAAUAAGUUGUGGGGGAGGAGGGAUUAAAACUUCCAAGUUAGCAGAUGAGUUUCAGGAGCGCGUAGGCCUUCAAGCCUAGAGCCUAAGGCCUUCUGGGACCUCCGAGCGCUGACGUCUGCUGUAGGUCUGAGCAGUUAGCGUCCAGCUCUGUAAGGGGAGAGCGGUCGUGCUGCCUCCGGGGUGGCUGUGCAGGUUGCGGUAAUGUGUAGAAAGCACCCAGCUCCGUGUCCAGCCCGGAGCAGGCACCCAACGAAUAGUAGCUCCCUUUCCUUCUUCUUCUGCCCUCUGUUCCCUCCCUCCCUGGACCUCUUAGCUAGAAAAAUAAGUCUACGCUGAAUCACUGAAUCAUUUUUUCCCCUUAGAUCUAUACUGCAGAGGUAGAAAGCAGAAAACUUGGGAAAUGACAGUAUUGGCUCAAAUCAGCCCUUUCCUACUAAACCGCUUAGUGAAUCAAAAAACCGCUUGUUGGACAGUGAAUCUCAGUGGAUAGAGAAUGGACCUGAAGCAGGUGCUGUUGGAUCAGGUUUAUGAAAACAUACUAUGGACUGAUAUUUUCAUUUCUAUUUGCAAGAAAAUGAUCAAUGGAAUGAAAUAGUUGAAGUAUAACAGAAGACAUAUUUUUUAAAAAGGAAACCUUUGUGUGAGACCGCUGGACCCACGGGAGCACCUCUCAGAGCGGGAAGACGCCUUAGCCUUAAAUGAGCCCAUUCGGUCGACGCUGACUUACAGCCACGAACGUGACUCGGACUUGCUUUGGAAAUAACACUUACAGUUCUGACAUGCUGCGGCAUGAGCUAUCAGGUCACACGUUAACAUGGCAUACGUAGUUUUUGAUCCCUGAGUUACAUUAGUAGAGUUAUUUCUUAGUAUCCAUGUAAAUUUUCACUCUAGAAAACAAGCUAAAAAUUUGUCUCCAGUGAUGUAGGUCAGCGUGGUGGCUGAAAGCAAGUAACAAUAUCCAAAUUACUGCUGCUUGUGCUGUGUGAGGGAAAGAAAGAAACUGCUUUUUUAAAAAAAAUCUGGUGUUUGCUAAUUUAUAGUUACUGUUUUAUACUUUCCAACAUUUUUAAUAAAGAUUUUUUUAUUGUUGGCUAUUAAAUAACACUCAGAAGGAUUUAGAUAACUAAAUAUAAUUGCUUAAAACAUGGAGUACAUUUGUAUAAUUCACUGAAGGCUUCGUUCUAAGCAUUAGUUAAACCAUGUGUGCUGUUGUGCCCAAGGGUUAAAAGAAAUGUGGCCGUGUGAGACAUGUUUGUUUCUCUCUGCUUUUCGAAGUACUUUUUUGUUGAGCUUUCAUGGGUAUCUAUACAGGCAGGGAAACAAAGGUUACACGUGUUACAGAAACACAGUCACAGUAGGAGCAGGUGGAGGUGGCCAGAAGAAAAGCGAAGAGAAAGAUCGACCGCAGGUCAGCUGUUAGAAGACACUGAGUGCUGCCUGCUCGUGAGUCGGCUCCCAAAUUUCAGCUUAGGGAAGCACUGAGAUCUGCUUUGAAACCUGUUAAAGGAAUACUGUAAACUUACGGAGGGUGAAACUGUUUAGCAUGACACUGUUCUCAAGGAGGAGAUUCUCACCUGAGUCGUCGUUCGGAAUCUCUGUUUUCUGAGAGGUGGAUUCCACUCUUAAGUGCAGGAUGUACAGUCUGCCCUAACAGCAACCUCUUUCUGCUUAGACCCAGCUCCCCUUUUUCCUUUUGAAACCCAGUCUAAACAACAGGACUUGUCGCAUUAAUUCUGAAGAAAUAUAGUGUCCUGUAAAGGAGAGACUGCACAGAUGUUGCUGCUGUCCUUCCUCAUCCACACUGCUUAGCCGGACAUGCACACACACCUGAUCACUUCUGUAAUGAGACCGCUUUUAGCGCCAUCUGUGUGUGUCACGAUUACGGUUUCCUGUCUGUAGAGUGGGGCUGGGGCCGGGCUGUUGGCAUGAUUUGGGCUGGGUGCCCUCUAACAGUCUUCAGUUCGUAAUUCUGCACAAUACCGUAUGACAUCCACCCAACAAGUAUUUUUGUAGUUCCUUCUGGAUGCCAAGCAAUAUACUAGAGAUAGCUCUGUGAUUUCCUAAUGUAGCAUAAGUUUUACAGCCACAUGCUCCAGGUUUACAGUUACAGGAUUUGUCUAAUUCUGUGGGCUAUGCUAAUAUUAGAUUUUAAAGGGAAGUAACUUUUUUUCUCUUUGAACCAGAGGAAUGGGUUAGCUUUGAAAAUGCAGUUUGAAAUGCUGUAUAAUAUGGCUUCUUCCAUCUUUAUUUCAACUCUGCAGUCUUAGUAAUCUUGAUUCUAGAAAACUUUUGUAUGAGAGUUAGGGGGCAUCAGUUACCAACCAGAAAUGACACUUAAGUUUGGCAGUUUGCAUGUUACAAGGAAAUGACAAUGAACGCAUGUGAUGCUUUCAGAAACGUCCUCCUGGUGCUUGUGGGUAUCUCUGCGUUGUCGCAGGACUGGCUGGCACCUGGUUAACCACUGAGGAGACUCACCUUUCCCCUCAGCCUACUCGGGUGCUUUAGUGUGUUUUCUUUUAAUUUUUUAUUUAACAUCAUUUUUAGUAGUAAACACCUUUUCAGAAAUUUUCAGCUAAAGCCUUUUACUUUAGUUAUCUUUGGUUUAAUUAAUUUAUGGCCAACAUUUGCCACAUUCUAAAUAAUUUUUGGUUGAGUUCGUUCAUACAUAUUCGUGACUGUUCAGCAAGGGCCUGCAGGCAUGUGGGAAUCCGGGAAAGGCUGCCUCUUGGGUAGUUCAGCUGGUGUUGAGUCGUGCUGUCAACUCCUUGGGGGAGAAAUGGCCAAAAUGAGCCUUGUCAAAAUGUGUUAGUACUACCUUUGGUCUUUCAAACACUUGAACAAUUGUGCUGACAUUUAAGGAGAAUAAGGUGGAAUUCCAGGUGUUGCUUUUCACAUUAAAAACAAACUAGACAGGAAACUUGGUUUUACCUGGGCGUGUACUUGAAUAUUCUGUCCCUGAGGCGUCUGACCACUGUCACUGUGCCAAACCCAGGAGCAGCUGCAGCCCGUGGUUACUCAGCAUACAGUUUAGCUUCAUCUCUGCAUAUGGAUGGUUUUCUUAAAAUCCUUUUACAUAUUUAGUGGUUAUGAUCUCGUGUGAUAAGUUAACUGUAAAGUUAGUUUAAAUCAAAUAUGCAAUGUUUACUUGAAUUCUGCUUCUAUUAGAAAGCAAAUUUUGACUGUUUACAGGAUUGUUUAAAUCACAGUUUUCCAGAUGUGUGAGCGUUCCCUUCGGUCAUCUUGCAGAUGCAUAUUAAGGGCUCAGUGUUAGGAUCUGCAUAUUUGGGGCAAUGAAAAGACAUAAGACUUACAAAUACAUUUCACUUAUAUUUUGUUCUAAGGACUGGCACUGCUGUCAAUGGAGAGUAUUUUUAACUAAUCUGUUAUUGAGAAAUUAAUCAUAUUUUUGCAUUUCAGCCAACAUAAAGAUCAUAGCUACUAUUCUGUAAGAUAUAGCUAAUCUGUAAUCCUGAAAUUCUUGUGUUUCAUAUGAUCUGAACUGUAUUUUACAACUUAAAUUAAAAAUGCAAUAUAGAUUCAGAAAGGUCCAUAUUUUUCUAACAACUUCACUUUGUAUUAUUUUGUUGGGUUGCAUAAAGGAGGAAUUGUAUUUGUAUUAAAAGCUUAAGAAAGCUGUUGGGUUUAUUGUAUUUGUACAUGAUUGCAGAUGAGUCUAUGCCCAUUUUAAAGAAAAGAUGGACACUAUUUUAAAGUGAUCUUUAAUAUGUUUUUAUAUAAACACAUCUGAAAUACAGUUUACUUUGAUGAUCUUUACUUACUAAGUCCCAUAAGUCUUGUAUUUGUUUCUCAUAAGUGUAACCCUGGACCAUGACUUAAUGUUAACUCUUUGCUUUGUCUUUUGGGUGGCCUAACCUACAUUAACAUGAAGCCGGAACAUUUUGAAAAUAUUUCUUCCCAGAAAUCAUCAUCAUGAUUUACUUUAUUAAUAAACAAAAUCCUGUAUUUGAA